AAGUGGGCUUGAUUGUGGGGAAAACUCCACAGUUAAGCGCGCUUGAGCCAGAGGCGUCUUCGGAUGGGUGACCACCUGGGAAGUCCUGGUUACCGGGUGCA
rnacentral:rRNA from 1 species